rnacentral:rRNA from 1 species
GAUGAACGCUGGCGGCGUGCUUAACACAUGCAAGUCGAACGGUGAAGCAGAGCUUGCUCUGUGGAUCAGUGGCGAACGGGUGAGUAACACGUGAGCAACCUGCCCCUGACUCUGGGAUAAGCGCUGGAAACGGCGUCUAAUACUGGAUAUGAGCUGCGAUCGCAUGGUCAGCAGUUGGAAAGAUUUUUCGGUCUGGGAUGGGCUCACGGCCUAUCAGCUUGUUGGUGAGGUAAUGGCUCACCAAGGCGUCGACGGGUAGCCGGCCUGAGAGGGUGACCGGCCACACUGGGACUGAGACACGGCCCAGACUCCUACGGGAGGCAGCAGUGGGGAAUAUUGCACAAUGGGCGAAAGCCUGAUGCAGCAACGCCGCGUGAGGGAUGACGGCCUUCGGGUUGUAAACCUCUUUUAGCAGGGAAGAAGCGAAAGUGACGGUACCUGCAGAAAAAGCGCCGGCUAACUACGUGCCAGCAGCCGCGGUAACAC